AAUAGAUACCCAGGUAGUCCAUGCCGUAAACGUUGGGCACUAGGUGUGGGGGACAUUCCACGUUUUCCGCGCCGUAGCUAACGCAUUAAGUGCCCCGCCUGGGGAGUACGGCCGCAAGGCUAAAACUCAAAGGAAUUGACGGGGGCCCGCACAAGCGGCGGAGCAUGCGGAUUAAUUCGAUGCAACGCGAAGAACCUUACCAAGGCUUGACAUGGACCGGACCGCCGCAGAAAUGUGGUUUCCCCUUUGGGGCCGGUUUACAGGUGGUGCAUGGUUGUCGUCAGCUCGUGUCGUGAGAUGUUGGGUUAAGUCCCGCAACGAGCGCAACCCUCGUUCUAUGUUGCCAGCGGUUCGGCCGGGGACUCAUAGGAGACUGCCGGGGUCAACUCGGAGGAAGGUGGGGACGACGUCAAAUCAUCAUGCCCCUUAUGUCUUGGGCUUCACGCAUGCUACAAUGGCCGGUACAAAGGGUUGCGAUACUGUGAGGUGGAGCUAAUCCCAAAAGCCGGUCUCAGUUCGGAUUGGGGUCUGCAACUCGACCCCAUGAAGUCGG
rnacentral:rRNA from 1 species